rnacentral:lncRNA from 1 species
CCACUCUCACCAAUGUCUCUCAUUCCCAAUUUUUCCCUUUUCUUUUUCUUUUGCAUUUAGCUCUUCUUCAUGCUUUUCUUAAUUUCGUUUCUCUUUUUCUCAUGAAUUUUCUCUUUUCACAAUAGUUGAGCUCAAUGCCUCUCACUUGCGUUUUCAAUUUUCCCCCGUACAACCCCAAAUUUGAACCUUUUCAUCACAUACAAGUUAGCU